rnacentral:rRNA from 1 species
UACGGAGGGUGCGAGCGUUGUCCGGAAUCAUUGGGCGUAAAGGGUGCGUAGGUGGGCAGGUAAGUCAGUGGUGAAAUCUCCGGGCUUAACCCGGAACUGCCGUUGAUACUAUCUGUCUUGAAUGUAGUGGAGGUGAGCGGAAUAUGUUAUGUAGCGGUGAAAAUGCUUAGAUAUGACAUAGAACACCCCAUUGCGAAGGCAGCUCGCUACACUAUUAUUGACACUGAGGCACGAAAAGCGUGGGGGAUCAAAACAGG